AGGGUAUGGAUUUGGCAGGCUGUCGUCAGCUGCGAUUGGAACCCUGAAGAAGGAAAAUUGCGAGCUGAGGUCAGCCAACUAUCAACUUAAGGCAUGAUGUGAAAGUCAGAAUACUACUUGGCAGCUAUUAAGGAGACUCUCAUAUCCUAGAGCCAGAGGGCAGAAUGUGCUGAGAAUGCUACGAAGAUCUGGUUGUAAAAGUGGUAGAGUUACAAAGGAGACCGAAUAUACAGCCCCAGCAAAUCUCCUAUGCUAAAGAAGGAAGAAUAACAGAGUAAUCACUAGAAGAGUUGAAGGUUGAGCUGGAAAUAUGGAGGAAGCCGUAAAGAUGGAAUGGAACUGAUGUUACACAUAUUAUCUUAUUGGACCUCACAACAAUUCCAUGAGCUUGGUAAGAACUCCAAGUCUACCUUGUGAAGAAACCUAGGCUAGUCCAUUGGAAGAUGAGACACCAUGUGAAGUCUGUUGCAGAGACCAGUCAUCCCAGCUGAGGCCCAUUACAUGAACUAGCCUGACAGCCGCCAGACACAUGUGUGAGGACAUCCUAGACCAUCUGGUUUCAGUUUCAACAGAGUCUCUAGCUGAUUGCAGAGAUCAGGCAAGUCAGCCUGGAGCAGAACUGCCCAGCAGAUCCACAGAAUGGCAUCUUAAAUGAAUCCUAAUAUAUGUAAGUUGCAAGAAUAAGGAGAUAUGAAUGAAAUAGUUAGCCGGACGUUUUUGGAUGAAAGGAAGAUUAGCCUUGAGCUAACAUCUGCUGCCAAUCC
rnacentral:lncRNA from 1 species